rnacentral:rRNA from 1 species
AGUGGCGGACGGGUGAGUAACGCGUGGGUAACCUGCCCUAUACAGGGGGAUAACAGUCAGAAAUGGCUGCUAAUACCGCAUAAGCGCACAGAGCUGCAUGGCUCAGUGUGAAAAACUCCGGUGGUAUAAGAUGGACCCGCGUUGGAUUAGCUAGUUGGUGGGGUAACGGCCCACCAAGGCGACGAUCCAUAGCCGGCCUGAGAGGGUGAACGGCCACAUUGGGACUGAGACACGGCCCAGACUCCUACGGGAGGCAGCAGUGGGGAAUAUUGCACAAUGGGGGAAACCCUGAUGCAGCGACGCCGCGUGAAGGAAGAAGUAUCUCGGUAUGUAAACUUCUAUCAGCAGGGAAGAUAGUGACGGUACCUGACUAAGAAGCCCCGGCUAACUACGUGCCAGCAGCCGCGGUAAUACGUAGGGGGCAAGCGUUAUCCGGAUUUGCUGGGUGUAAAGGGAGCGUAGACGGUGUGGCAAGUCUGAUGUGAAAGGCAUGGGCUCAACCUGUGGACUGCAUUGGAAACUGUCAUACUUGAGUGCCGGAGGGGUAAGCGGAAUUCCUAGUGUAGCGGUGAAAUGCGUAGAUAUUAGGAGGAACACCAGUGGCGAAGGCGG